CUUUUACAAGUCUAUACAAUAACCGUAGUUAAUUGAACAGUCUAUACAUCCACUAAUUUCUCCAGGGCAGAAAAGUUCUCCAGGGCAGAAAAGUUCUCCAGGGCAGAAAAGUUCAUUCACUGUCAUCAUGUGUACUGCGUAUUUCCAACGGAUAGAGCUUCACAAUCGGACGGUUGGUGAUUCCUGUGUCGGUCUUGAUAACAGCUGAUCGAAUGAGUCCAUCCUUUCCACGAACUAAAUCUUGUACAACUGCUAAUUUCCACAUUAUACGAUUUGUGUCAUUGUGUACUUGUACAAUGUCACCUAUUUGUAUUGUUUGUUCGUUUCUUCCAGAUGUACGGUGGAAAUUCACGGAGUGACGUCAGAUAUUCGUGUUUCCAUCUUGAGCGAAAAUGGUUGAUUAGUUCAUUAUUUCUCUGUAAAUUUUUAUUCAGUUUCACGUGCAAAUCUUCGGAAGUAACACUGUCAAUAUUCUGUUCCGAUUGGUUGUCAAGUCGACGACCAUAUAAAAGGUGCGCUGGCGUCAGCGGUUCGGGAUCUUUAAUAUCAGUAGAAAUGUGAGUUAUAGGACGAUUGUUUAGAGUUCCCUCGAUUUCGAUUAUAAUUGUAUUCAACAUUUCCGUAGUGACACAUGACUUUCCUAGUAUUGCUUUAAUUGACUUUUUCGUGAGUCCAAUUAGGCGUUCCCAAAAGCCUCCAAACCACGGUGCUCGGUUGGGUAUGAAUUUCCACUCAGUUCCUUGAUCGGCAAGUUUUUCUUGUAUUCGGUUGUCU
rnacentral:lncRNA from 1 species